rnacentral:lncRNA from 1 species
GUCACAGGUGAGCAGUGGCACUAGGAUUGGACUUGAGUUAGCUCUUCACCUUGAUCUUGGUAUUAAUGAAGAUCAUUGAUUUAUCGUGAUGGGAGGUCUACUGCCAAAGCCAGGUGGUCUCUAGUGAGUGCCACAGUCAAGGAUACCCACUUGGCACAGUGCAGACUCAGAGGAAGAAAGUGGAGUAUGGAAUAGAACAAGGCCAGCUGCCAGGCUCCCCGUGACCACUGGUUUCCAAGGCAUGAGUUGUGCUUGUUAAAAAUACAGAUUCCUCGGCCCAAAUUCCAAAGAUCUUGUUUUAGUAGAAUUUCAGAGAGUUGGCUUCUUUUUCCCGGGGUUGCUGACCGGAUAGGCUGAGCCUGGAGCUGCGGGGCCGUGAGGCCUCUGCCCUGGGAGAGCCUGCCCUGAAGAGAACAGGCCUGCAGAGACAACCGCGUCACUGCCUCCCUCUGGCUGUGGCUGCGCAGAGAGUGAAGCCUCCUGGCUGUUCUUCCUUCACCAGCUCUGCUGUGAAAAAGCCUCUUACCUUGGCGCUGAGAUUUAUGGAUCUCAUUUUGCAGACGGAGAGAAUGGAUACAGGGAAGGAAAGUGAUCAGCCAAAGCGCCUUCCUUUCCCUGGAGAAAAGUGUGCCCAUCUGACACCUUGGCCCACCUGCUCCCCGUGACGCACUCAUCUGAACCUGCCGCUGCUCCUGCUCCACGCGCCCCCACAGUGCCCUCCCCAGCUGCCGCCUCCGGCUCCAACCUCCACC